rnacentral:rRNA from 1 species
GACGAACGUUGGCGGCGUGCUUAAUACAUGCAAGUCAACUGAAGCAGUGGUAGCAAUAUCGCUGUGGAGGUGGCGCACGGGUGAGUAACACGUAGGUAAUCUGCCUUCAGGUCUGGCAUAACUCCGGGAAACCGGGGCUAAUAGCAGAUGAUGCAGCGGCUCGACAUCGAGACAGUUGUUAAAGCUAUGGCGCCUGAAGAUGAGCCUGCGUCUGAUUAGCUAGUUGGCGGGGUAACGGCCCACCAAGACAACGAUCAGUAGCUGGUCUGAGAGGAUGAUCAGCCACACUGGAACUGAGACACGGUCCAGACUCCUACGGGAGGCAGCAGUAAGGAAUAUUGCUCAAUGGGAGAAAUCCUGAAGCAGCAACGCCGCGUGAGGGACGAAGGGCUUUUGCUUGUAAACCUCUGUAGUGAGAGAAAAAAAUCCCAAUCUUUGGGACAUGAUGGUAUCUCAAAAGUAAGCCCCGGCUAACUACGUG